UGAUUGAUUUUUUUUUUCAUUUAUACUAUACCACAUAGGUUGCAACUUUGCGCAACAUUUAUAUGAUUAUGCGGUUGAGAUGUGAUGUUAGUUACAUGUACAUAAGAAUUAUUAGACAUUGUGAUUAGUACUAAUAUUGACUUAGCUGUCUAGUUUGUGUUGUAUUGUUGAUUUUUUUUUUUACAUAGAAUUUUCAGCACAGACUUAGAAAAUUUUUGAUAUGGGUAUAUUAUUUUUUUUUGAUUACUGACAUAGGUGAUAAAUAAGUUUGAUAUUGAUAAACUUAGUGUGAAUCUUGGUGUAUGAUAGAGUUAUAGUGCAUGUUAUAUAGGUGAUACCAUUCCUUAUACCUUUGCAUGUGAACCCAUCCAUAUCUCUGCACAUACUUACUAACACUUGUACACUUACA
rnacentral:lncRNA from 1 species